AUGGAUAUGUGGAUUUAGUGUCUUGAAAUCAAAUCUAUUCCAAUGGAAAAAUGUAUUAAAAAGAGAAAAUGUAUUUGUCCAGAGUUAUUCCACCACUACAAAUGUCAGACCAUGGAGGACUACUACAGCCAAAAUAUGUUCUGUGAGAUUUUGUUUAAUGUGAAUUAGGCCUAAAUGUGAACUUUUAUUGAUAGCUAAUGGAACUAACAGUAAACAUAUUUUGAAUUCUCCAGACAAGCCAUCUAUAUUAGCAAACUCCAGCUGCUCCUACCAUGCUGGCCAAGUCAUCUGCAGGUGUCAGGCCCGGGCUCGACCAAGGGCCAAAGUUCUGUGGAUGGUGGAUGGAGGACCCCUGUUCCCUGGCUCUGACCCAACCACCUCCCCCCAGAACCACACGGUGAUGGAUAUCUGGGCUGCAGAGGGCACCUAUGAAAAUGUGUCUGUCACCUGUCUGGUCAACAACACACAUGGCCAUGAUAAGCUUCUCCUGAGUGUAUUUGUGAAAGGUGUUAUGAAAAUGUCCUCAGUGGUAUAUGAGGGUCUCCUUUUGUAAAGGUCAUUAUUAUUUGAAUAUGUAGUAUGAAUUAUGUUCAAUUAAAGAAAUGUGAGAUUGUACACAGUUGUGACAUUUAUGCUUUCCACAAUGCUUUUUCUAUUCUAUUCUAUUCAACAUAAAUGAACCAUUUGAACAUACCUGUAUUCUCCUAAAUGUUUUGUCUUCACCAGCACCACCCACCAAUGUGUCCAUCAGCCAGCUCCCAGCCCGGCCUCUGGAGGGAGAAAAGGUCACUCUGUCCUGUCUGGGUCACGGUCACCUCCCAAUCCGUUCCUACAGGUGGUACCGUGUGUUCGGGGAGCAGUCAGUCCUGCUUAGAGAGGAUUCUGUGAGUUUGAGUCUCUCUGUGACCAGAGACGUGGGGCAGUUCCGCUGUUCUGCUCUGAACGAGAUGGGAGAGUGCAGUUCAGACACCACGCCUGUGAACGUUGAGUGUAUGUAUCAUUAUGCCAUAAACGUUUCUGCAACCAUCUUAUAAACCACGUUAUAUAUGGACGUUUGCCACAGUCGUUUUGUCAUUUUCUCUCUCUCCAUUUAUCUUCCUCUCUGUUAGAUGCACCAGCUAUACUUCCCCUCUCCUUCUGUUCUGUGAAUGAUGGGGAGGUGAGGUGUGAGUGUGUGGUGGACUCUCACCCUGUGGCGCAGAUCAUUUGGACACCAUGGAGCAUUCAGGACAAUCAGACUCACAACAUCACUGACCUGCUCAACUGGAGGAUCCUGAGGUCCAUUCUCAUUGGGCCCAAGGUUGAUGACAUGGGUGACGUCCUCUGCAAUUCAACCAAUGAGCAUGGGAGUGCCUUCCUCAAACUCCCAUUCAUUGCAGGUGAAACGUCCGCCCAGCGGUCCCUGUUCUACGGAGGAGUUGGGGGCACCCUGUUGCUGGUGCUCUCCUUCGCCUCCUUUUUAUUUUGGAGAUUCUACUCCACCAAGAGAAGAGAUUGCCGUGUUGCACUGGAGGAGGUUGAGCUGAAGGGGGCACUGCAGGUGAUACACAAUGAUCCUACUGACUGCCCAGGCAGCCCAGAGGCCCGUGUUCACUGGAUUUGAGGUCCAUGAGGCCUGGAGCUAAAUAACUGGGAGACAGACACACAGUCAGUUCUGUUUCACUUCUGUGUUGGUACAGUUCACUGGUGUAUUUAUUUACCAUACAAUUUUUUCUCCUUCAAUUCUGGGCAUGAAUGUUAAUAUUUAAUUAAGCUCCUUAAUGACUGAUCAAACCAUUUUGUCUGACUGUAAGGUAUCUAAUAAACAUGCAUUGAAAUUCUGUGUAAAUAAUCAUAUUGUAAUUACUUGGCAACAGAUCAUUUGAAUAAAUGAAAAGUGACCAUCAGUGCAUCAUGAUGAUACUGCGUAUGUAUGUUGACAUUGUGUGUUUGUGAGCAGGUGCAUAUGAGUGCGUGUCAAUGUGUGUGUGAGAGAGCGAGAUGGAGAGAGGGAGUUCAUUUAAGCCAUGCGUGUGGGCUCUCUAAGCGUGUAUCUGCCCUCAUGGCCAUACCUAGCCCUCAUGGCCAUACCCAGCCCUCAUGGCCAUACCCAGCCCACAGAUGACAGUGCGCUCCUCCAACUGAAAGAAAGUGUGAGCUUCAGCAUGUUGCAUUGACCACCCCCAGUACUGCAAGCCUCUGCACAUCACAGUCCAGACACACCAAUACAAAACAAAAGCGGACCCCGGCACACCUGUGGCGCCCCCCCCCCCCCCCCCCCACUCAUCCAUACUAUCCCAUACUAUCAACCCAAUCCCCCCUCCAUUAGUCCCCAUGGUCACUCAAUGGGAAAGAGCCACGUGCCUCUGCGCCACCAGCUCAAGAGCAUUUGUUCUCGGUUGUGGUUGACUUGUAAAGGAUUUGCCUCCAUAGACAGAAAAGCAGAGCGGAUAACUUUUUGGAAUUCGGCCUAGGGGGUCCUCUUCGACCUUUUGCUCACUCCGGGAUUCCACUCUCUCUCUUUCUCUCUCAGUCUUUCCCUGCGGAAAGGUUGACACUUAAGAGGGUUUAUUUUUCCUGAAGAACUCAGGUAAGAUGCAUCCUGGUACUUUAGCCCUGGUGCUGUUAUGCUGUGUUGCCAGAUUGGACCGUUUGGACUGAUUGGACUAAUAAGCAAGUGUAUACAGUAAAUCUGUGUGGAGUAAAGCCAUGUGGGGCACAGGUGGGCAAAGAGGGACACUUCUGUCCACGGGAGAAAACUAGCAGAGCUACUGAAUGAAAGCAUAUUUUUCUAAGACUAAUGAAAACUUGGUCUGAAGUGCAAUUAAAGGGUUAAGGGCUAAUUACAUUGAAAGCAUUCAGUACUAAUCAGAAUAUGAUAAUGCUUUAGUCUCUAAAGUGAAAUGAGUAAAUCACUGUCAUUUGAUUUUAUUACAAAGUAUGCUAUUUUUUAAAAUGCAGUCGUAACCCAUUCAGCAUUCUACAGGUGUUGACUUCAACGCUUGACCUCAAGUAACGGUCAAUGCAAGCAUGUUGAAUGUCAUCUGACUGUGGUUGGGCUCCCGAGUGGCGCAGUGGUUUAAGGCACUGCAUCUCAGUGCUAGAGGAGACACGGACACCCUGACACCCUGGUUCAAAUCCACGCUGUAUCACAACUGGCUGUGUACAAUUGGCCUAGCAUUGUAUGGGUUUGGCCAGUGUAAGCUGUCAUUGUAAAUAAGAAUUUGUUCUUAACUGACUAAAUAAAGGUUAAAUGGCCAAGAUGGAUGCAGAUGUUAUGAGGCAUCCAUUAAUCUCUGCAGUACAUUGGUGAUUGUUCUGUGUUACAAAUAGUAUUCACUUUGCAUUGAACCACUGAACUGAAUGUUUCUUUUCUAGUGCCUCGGGUGCAAGAUCAAUGAGUGAGACCGUUAGCUCUUCGUUUCCUCAACCCUAAAGGAACCUCUGGAUGUUUUAUCUUCUGGAAACAGGUGUUCCAGAGGUGUUAUGACUGUUGGCUGGAUGCUCAUGAAUCACUGUCUCAGGAAAUACCAUCCAGCUUUAAUAUCCAUCAUUUGUUGUUGGUUGGUUCUACAUGAGCAUUUCUUGGAGCCACUGCCCCUCCUCCACUCUCACUUUGAAAUGUAACACUUCCAUAUUUCAGUAUAACCACGCUUGUGGAGUGUUGGAGUAUUUUUGUAUGUGUUUGAGGUUACUGAGUUGACAUUUCUACAUUGCAUGCGGGUAGUAGAUAGCAUCAGUGGAUUGCACAGUGUUGACAGUGAUACAGAAAUCGAACAUUUCAGCUCAAAAUAGAGUCCAUACUGUCUCUGUGCAGCUACAGAGACACUUUGCCGUCCUGUGCUAUUGAAUAUGACACAUGUUCACGUGUGUCUCUGUAAAUAAGGAAGUGAUACUGUGUUGCUUCAUCUGGUUUGUGCUGAGUGUGUCACGUCUCUGCACUGUUGCUGAGUGAAGCAUUGCCUGGUUCUAUGCACCAUUGAUGCACCUGUCUAGGCUACGUCUGUGUGUUGUGUUCAGUGUGUGGGCACAGUGUGUGCCAUUGUGGCCUUCAGGCCUGGGGUCAGUUCUAUUUCAAUUCAGUCAAUCCAGGAUGUGAAAGAAAAAUAAAAUAAUGAUAACGAUAAGCAGCUAUUUGUAAUUCUGGACAUGCAAUUCACUUCCUGAAUUCACUGAAGUAAAAUGGAAUUGACCCCAGCCCUGCAACUUUGUGUAGUGGGACUUUAAAGGCAUCCGUAAACCGUCCAAUGGUUGACUCUAUUGCCUGUUCUCCAUGGUUGACUCUAUUGCCUGUGCCCCAUGGUUGACUCUAUUGCCUGUGCCCCAUGGUUGACUGUGUUGUCUGUGCCCCAUUGUUGACAUUUUAAGUGCCUGUGCCCCAUGGUUGACUCUAUUGCCUGUGCCCCAUGGUUGACUCUCAUGGCCUGUGCCCCAUGGUUGACUAUUGCCUGUGCCCCAUGGUUGACUCUAUUGCCUGUGCCCCAUGGUUGACUCUAGUGCUUGCCCCAUGGUUGACUCUAUUGCUGUGCCCCAUGGUUGACUCUAUGGCCUGUGCCCCAUGGGACUGUGCCUGUGCCCCUGGUUGACUGUGUUGUCUGUGCCCCAUGGUUGACUGUGUUGCCUGUGGUUGACUGUGUUCCUGUGCCCCAUGGUUGACUGUGUUGCCUUUGCCCAUGGUUGACUGUGUUGUCCUGUGCCCCAUGGUUGACUCUAUUGCCUGUGCCCCAUGGUUGACUGUGUUGCCUGUGCCCCAUGGUGACUGUGUUGUUUGUGCCCCAUGGUUGACUGUGUUGCCUGUGGUUGACUGUGUUUGCCUGUGCCCCAGGGUGACUGUUGUGCCUGUCCCAGGUUGACUGUUUUGCCUGUGCCCCAUGGUUGACUGUGUUGUCUUGCCCAUGGUUGACUCUUGUGCUGUGCCCCAUGGUUGACUGUUGUUUUUUGCCUGUGCCCCAUGGUUGACUGUGUUGUGUUUUGCCCCAUGGUUGACUGUGUUGCCUGUGGUUGACUGUGUUGCUGUGCCCCAUGGUUGACUUGUUUGCCUGUGCCCCAUGGUUGACUCUUGCCUGUCCCCAUGGUGACGUGUUGUCCUGUGCCCCUGGUUGACUGUGUUGUCUGUGCCCCAUGGUUGACUCUAUUGCCUGUGCCCCAUGGUUGACUCUAUUGCCUGUGCCCCAUGGUUGAUCAUUGCCUGUGCCCCAUGGUUGACUGUGUUGUCUGUGCCCCAUGGUUGACUGUGUGUCUGUGCCCCCUGGUUGACUCUUCCUGUCCCCAUGGUUGACUCUAUUGCCUGUCCCCAUGGUUUGACUGUGUUGUCUGUGCCCCAUUGUUGACUUUAUGC
ensembl:lncRNA